rnacentral:rRNA from 1 species
UCUAGCACACCGCGUGUGCGAUGAAGGCCUUCGGGUCGUAAAGCACUUUUUGGAGGGAAUAGGAAGGAAGGUACCUCCAGAAUAAGUCUCGGCUAACUACGUGCCAGCAGCCGCGGUAACACGUAGGAGGCAAACGUUAUCCGGAUUCACUGGGCGUAAAGCGCGUGCAGGUGGUUUCGUAAGUAGGGCGUGAAAGCUCCCGGCUCAACUGGGAGAGGCCGUACUAAACUGCGGAGCUAGAGGAUGGUAGAGGGAGGUGGAAUUCCAGGUGUAGUGGUGAAAUGCGCAGAUAUCUGGAGGAACACCAGUGGCGAAGGCGGCCUCCUGGACCAUACCUGACACUCAGACGCGAAAGCUAGGGUAGCAAACGGAAUUAGAGACUCCGGUAGUCCUAGCCCUAAACGAUGCAGACUAGGCGUCGGCGGUUUAAUCACCGUCGGUGUCCAAGCUAACGCGAUAAGUCUGCCGCCUGAGGACUACGGCCGCAAGGCUAAAACUCAAAGGAAUUGACGG